rnacentral:rRNA from 1 species
GACGAACGCUGGCGGCGUGCUUAACACAUGCAAGUCGAACGGUAAGGCCCUUCGGGGUACACGAGUGGCGAACGGGUGAGUAACACGUUGGUGAUCUGCCCUGCACUUCGGGAUAAGCCUGGGAAACUGGGUCUAAUACCGGAUAGGACUCCGGACUGCAUGGUCUGGGGUGGAAAGCUUUUGCGGUGUGGGAUGGGCCCGCGGCCUAUCAGCGUGUUGGUGGGGUGAUGGCCUACCAAGGCGACGACGGGUAGCCGGCCUGAGGGGGUGACCGGCCACACUGGAGCUGAGAUACGGCCCAGAGUCCUGCGGGAGGCAGCAGUGGGGAAUAUUGCACAAUGGGCGCAAGCCUGAUGCAGCGACGCCGCGUGAGGGAUGACGGCCUUCGGGUUGUAAACCUCUUUCAGCAUCGACGAAGCGAAAGUGACGGUAGGUGCAGAAGAAGGACCGGCCAACUACGUGCCAGCCGCCGCCGUAA